UUAAUUUUUAUAUUCGUCUUCGGAAUCUGAGGAAGAAAACGUGCAGCAAGUCAUAAGGAACCGAAUGCGAGACAAAAGCAAUCCCUUGGCAUUGCCGGAGGCAGCGUAAGGAAUUAGAAUUGUGUACAAAUUAAUUUCAAUUGCCUACAUGUUUAUAUUUACAGCUUCAGGAAAUGGUUCAGUCUCUCUAAAAGUGCAUUUAACUACGUGUUGGCUGAACUUAAAUUUGAAGGGCAUUUGUCAACCGCAGUGGCCAGUGGUGGCUACCAGCACUUGGUGGGAAAUGACUUUUUGAUAGGAAUAUAUCAAAGCACUAUUUGCAAAAUAAUAAAAAAUGUAAUUAGCGAAAUGGAAACAAAGUUGUGCCCCCCAUUUAUUUAAUUCGUGCCCGACAAUCUUUCGGAAUGCACGAAAUCGUUUGUUGAAAAAUACAAAAAUUCCUGGCGGUAAGAUUAGCGCUUUUAUUUUGAGUAAAAUGUAGCGCUUUUAAAGCUGAAGCAUACUUAACAUAUUUAAAUAUGUAUAUGUUUAUGUAUGCAGUUAUUGGAUGUAUUGAUAGCACGCACUUUGGGCUGCAAAAACCAACAGUAAAUGAGCACAUGUUCUUCAACAGGAAAGGAUACCAUAGCCUCAACUCAAUGAUAAUAUGUGACCAUGAAUACCGCAUUUUGGCCAUUGACUCAAAGUAUGGUGGAGCCGCCCACGAUUCCUUUGCAUGGAAGGUUUGGACACAAAAUUCGAAACCAUAUAAUGUUGGCGCUAGAAAAUACAAUUUGAAUAAAACAAGUGUA